CUAUAUAUAAAAGAGAGUGGGCAAGUUAGAAAACCCUCAUUUCUUUCUAUUCGGAACAAUGACUACGAUCUCUGAUAUUUCGAAUUACUUGGUAGAGAAGAUACUCUCUAGGGCUCCCAUAACUUGUCUCGGAGCGGUGAGAACCACAUGCAAACGAUGGAACGCUUUAUCCAAAGAAAAUACUUUAUGUAAUGGAGAAGCAAGACAUCAGUUUCUGGGGUUUAUGACGAAAAAGUAUAAGCUUUGUUCAAUGAGGUUCAGAUCUCAAUGGAAAAUAUAACGAAGGAGGAGGUGACGAUUUCGUGGAUCCAACUAUAA